rnacentral:lncRNA from 1 species
GGCCGGACGCCACGGCGCUCAGGAUCUUCCCAGCGUCGCCCGUUCCUCCCCAAGGCCUGGGAGACCCGAGGGAAGAACCAAGGCCGCCGCUCCCCUCGUUUCCCGUGGACCCUCCGGGCCGCCCCGUGCGCGGGCCCAGCACACCAGGACACGGGUGGAGUGGGCGUGUCCCCUUGCGAGCCUGAGCCGCCCUACAGACCUGUCCAGUAAUCUAACGGGAAGGCCAGUCUGGAACGGUGUAAACACCGGAGAGUCCCCUAGGUGGCAGCAAAGGCCCAACAAAGUGGUCCCAGAAUGGUCCUUCCCUUCCGCCCUAAUCCCAGAAAGGCCAGGAAGGACGGAGCCACUUCACAGAGAACUGAAAUCCAGAGGGCCAGGAACAAGCUCACACCACGCAGCGAUCUGAACGCUGACUUCCUGCCCCAGGAGAAGAGAAGACAAGACAGAGAGAGGAAAGUCUAACAGGGAGCGGCCAUAGAAAGUGAUGAUUCAGAGCACAGACGCACUCAGACCUGUCCUCCAGGCAGUGUGACCCCGGGAGUCUCCUCACCCUUCUGAGCCUCGUUUGCCUUACCUGUAGAAUUGGGAACAAGAAGGGCACCUGCUUCAUAGGAUGUUUUGAGGGUUAACUGAGAGGCUGCAUGGAAAUCACUUAGCACAGUGCCUGGAAGGUAGCAAGUGCUCAGCAAAUCAUCAAUAAAUUAAUAAAUGUAAAGCUGGUAUCCGACUGUGAUGGUCUUUGUUAAUGUGUCAGCUUGGAUGGGUUGCAG